AUGGCGGACCUGGCGCUCGGCGCGGGGCCGGAGGAGAUUUGGCGGCGGCGCGCCAAGACCAAGAUCGUCUGCACCCUCGGCCCGGCCUCGCGGUCCGUGGAGAUGUGCGCGCGCCUCCUGCGCGCCGGCAUGUGCGUCGCCAGGUUCAACUUCUCGCACGGAUCCCACGAGUACCACCAGGAGACCCUCGACAACCUCCACAAGGCCAUGGACAUAACCGGCAUCCUCUGCGCGGUCAUGCUCGACACCAAGGGACCAGAAAUUCGCACAGGCUUUCUGAAAGACGGCAAGCCUGUAAAGCUGAAUCAGGGGCAAGAGAUUACCAUAACCACAGAUUAUACCAUCAAGGGUGAUGAGACCAUGAUUUCCAUGAGCUACAAAAAGUUGGCUGUAGAUGUGAAGCCUGGGAGCACUAUACUAUGUGCUGAUGGCACCAUCACACUCACAGCGCUUUCUUGUGAUCCUGAGAAAGGUCUAGUUCGCUGCCGAUGUGAGAACUCUGCUCUCCUAGGUGAGAGGAAGAAUGUCAAUCUUCCUGGCGUCAUUGUAGAUCUCCCAACACUUACAGAUAAGGACAAGGUGGAUAUCCUACAGUGGGGAGUGCCAAACAAGAUCGACAUGAUAGCACUCUCCUUUGUACGGAAAGGAUCAGACCUUCAGAUGGUCCGAAGUGUGCUCGGUGAGCAUGCCAAGUCAAUCAUACUUAUGUCCAAGGUUGAGAAUCAAGAAGGUGUUGCUAAUUUUGAUGACAUACUUGCAAAUUCAGACGCCUUCAUGGUUGCACGAGGAGAUUUGGGUAUGGAGAUCCCUAUUGAGAAGAUUUUCUUUGCUCAGAAGGUUAUGAUCUUCAAAUGCAAUCAACAAGGAAAGCCUGUUGUCACUGCAACCCAGAUGCUGGAGUCGAUGAUCAAGUCUCCCCGCCCUACACGGGCAGAAGCAACUGAUGUCGCCAAUGCUGUCCUAGACGGAACUGACUGUGUGAUGCUUAGCGGUGAGACUGCAGCAGGGGCAUAUCCAGAGUUAGCAGUGCAGACAAUGUCCAGCAUCUGCUUAAUGGCAGAGACCUAUGUGGAUCACGGUGCAGUCUUCAAGUUGAUUACCGCAGCAGCACCAGUUCCUAUGAGCCCACUUGAGAGUUUGGCAUCGUCAGCUGUUCGGACGGCUAAUGUCUCCAAGGCAUCGCUUAUCUUGGUCCUGACGAGGGGAGGUACGACUGCAAGGCUCGUCGCGAAGUACAGGCCAGCGAUGCCAGUAUUGAACUGCGUGGUUCCAGAGCUGAAGACCGACAAUGAUUUCGACUGGACUUGCAGCGACGAGGCUCCUGCAAGGCAGAGUCAAAUUGUUAGGGGCCUGAUCCCAAUGUUGAGUGCCGCUACUGCAAAGGCUUCUGAUACUGAGGCCACCGAGGAGGCCGUCAGUUUUGCCCUGGAUUAUGCCAAGAAGCUCGGCCUCUGCAAGUCGGGAGAUUCAGUUGUUGCGGUGCAUCGUCUCAGCGCAUCAUCCCUCGUCAGGAUCUUGACAGUGGAUUAG
rnacentral:rRNA from 1 species